GAUGAACGCUAGCUACAGGCUUAACACAUGCAAGUCGAGGGGUAACGAGAGGGAAGCUUGCUUUCCUUGUCGACGACCGGCGCACGGGUGAGUAACGCGUAUCCAACCUGCCCCCAACUAGGGAAUAACCUUGCGAAAGUAAGACUAAUACCCUAUAAUUUCCUCAGAUGUCAUCUGACGAGGAAUAAAGAUUUAUCGGUUGUGGAUGGGGAUGCGUCUGAUUAGCUUGUUGGCGGGGUAACGGCCCACCAAGGCAACGAUCAGUAGGGGUUCUGAGAGGAAGGUCCCCCACAUUGGAACUGAGACACGGUCCAAACUCCUUCGGGAGGCAGCAGUGAGGAAUAUUGGUCAAUGGGCGGAAGCCUGAACCAGCCAAGUAGCGUGCAGGAUGACGGCCCUAUGGGUUGUAAACUGCUUUUAUACAGGAAUAAAGUUAGCCACGUGUGGUUAUUUGUAGGUACUGUAUGAAUAAGGACCGGCUAAUUCCGUGCCAGCCGCCGCGGUAA
rnacentral:rRNA from 1 species